AGCCAUGCAUGUCUAGUACAUACCUAGUUAUAGUGAGACUGCGAAAGGCUCAGUAUAUCAGUUAUAGUUUAUUCGAUUGUGAAAUCCACAUGGAUAACCGUGGAAAAUCUAGAGCUAAUACAUGCGAAAAAUGACGGUUGCAGGAGUAAUUCUGUAAUUGUUGUGCAUUUAUUAGAUACAACCAAUUAGUGCUCGGUGCGCAAGCAUAGAGUGCUAUCAAGGUGAGUCUGGAUAACUGUGCCGAUCGUAUGGCCUAGAGCCGGCGACGUUUCGAUUAAAUUUCUGCCCUAUCAACUUGUUGGUAAGGUAGUGGCUUACCAAGGUGAUAACGGGUAACGGGGAAUCAGGGUUCGAUUCCGGAGAGGGAGCCUGAGAAACGGCUACCACAUCCAAGGACGGCAGCAGGCGCGCAAAUUACCCAAUCCAGACACUGGGAGGUGGUGACGAGAAAUACCAGGUCGUUCCCAAAAGGAUUCGACACUGGAAUGAUUACAGAGUAAAUAAUUGUUUGAGUAACAACUGGAGGGCAAGUCUGGUGCCAGCAGCCGCGGUAAUUCCAGCUCCAGUAGUGUAUCCUAACGUUGCUGCGGUUAAAACGCUCGUAGUUGGACAAGAGAGCAACUUGGUGCGGGCGGGAAGUGUAGUUGGUGUUGUGUGCUAUGUUGUCGUAUGCUGCUUCGUGUAGUGUUCGGCAGCAUGGUAACUGCAUUGUAGCACUUGUCAACCAUGCUGCCAGGUUGCUCGAAAUAUUUCGUGAAAAUAGCAUAUGGCCUUUAUUGUGCUGUGUGCUGUGUUUUACGUAGUGUGCCUUGAAUAAAUCAGAGUGCUCAAAGCAAGCUAACGCUUGAAUGUUAAUAGCAUGGAACGAAUGUUUUGUGUAUGUGUGCACUUUGGUAUGUUUUCUUCGGAGUAAUGUGCUGGAGUGUGCAUAGCACCAACCACGGAGCGGAACGUUGGUUACCGACUUCGGGUGAUGAUUAAGAGGGGCAUUUGGGGGCAUUAGUAUUUGGCCGCGAGAGGUGAAAUUCUUGGACCGGUCAAGGACUAACAAGUGCGAAAGCAUUUGCCAAGUAUGUUCCCUUUAAUCAAGAACGAAAGUGAGAGGUUCGAAGACGAUCAGAUACCGUCCUAGUUCUCACCGUAAACGAUGCCAACCCGGGAUCAGUYCGGAUGUACACAUGUUGGAUCCAGGUUGGUCCCCCUGGGAAACCUUGAGUCUUUAGGUUCCGGGGGGAGUAUGGUUGCAAGGCUGAAACUUAAAGGAAUUGACGGAAGKGCACCACCAGGAGUGGAGCCUGCGGCUUAAUUUGACUCAACACGGGAAAACUCACCUGGUCCGGACAUCGAUAGGAUUGACAGACUAAUAGAUCUUUCAUGAUACGGUGGGUGGUGGUGCAUGGCCGUUCUUAGUUCGUGGAGCGAUCUGUCAGGUUUAUUCCGGUAACGAACGAGAUCACGCUCUUCAUUUAGGGAACUGCAAUUGAUACUUGUUGUGGUGCAGCUUGCUGUUCCGUGGCGAUAUUAAGUUGUGGUUUGCGUGCAGCAAUGUGCGUCCCUAUGGAGAGACAGCCGGAUUAUUGAAGCCGGAGGAAGCGUGGCAAUAACAGGUCUGUGAUGCCCUUCGAUGUUCAGGGCCGCACGCGCGCUACAAUGAUAACGUCAGCGAGAGUCUGGACUGAAAAGUUCUGGGAAAUCUUGUAAAUCGUUAUCGUGAUGGGGAUUGAGCAUUGUAAUUGUUGUUCAUGAAAUAGGAAUUCCUUGUAUUUCCGUCUCACUGAGGACGGGAAGAAUGCGUCUCUGCCCUUUGUACACACCGCCCGUCGCUACUACCGAGUGAAUGGUGUCAUGAUGUCUUGGGACUGGACGUUGUUGGCAACGCAAGUUGCGGACGAUGCUAGGAGCAAGAUAAAAUGGCGCAAU
rnacentral:rRNA from 1 species